ensembl:lincRNA
GGCCAAAGGAAGAUGUCAGAUAUCCUGCCCUGUCACUGCCUGACUUAAUCUCCAGAGAUAGGGUCUCUCACUGAGCCUGGAGCUGUGUCGGUGACUAGCAAGCCCCAGUGAUCCCACAGAACAGGGACUUUUGUGUUGGUACUGGAGAUCAGAACUCACCUUUGUGUAGCAAUUGCUUGUGCUGUGUCACCUCUCCAGCUUAGGAAUAUUGUUUUAUGAUUUGAAAGAUCUAAAAAUUCAUACUUUUUUUUUUUUUUUUUUUUUUUUUGUAGUUAUAAAAAGUGUUCUUGGCUAGGGUGGAAGAGGGUGGCUGGAGAGAUGACUCAGUGGUUGAAUCACUUGCUGCUCUGGCAGAAGACCUGAGUUUGGUUCUCAGCACCCGCUUGGCAGCUUAUAACCGUCCAUAAUAUCUCCAGUUCCAGGAGAUCUGAGGUCCUCUCCUGUCUUCCAUGACACUAUGCAUGCAUAUGGUGCAAUUCACACAUACAUGUAAACAACUGUGUACAUAAAGAAAGGAAAAAAACAGAUGUUCCAUUUAUUAUUUAUUUAAUCGUGGUGCUAGUGGUCAGAGCCUCUUGCACGCCAAAUGAGUGAGUGGCCUGUCACAUCUCCAUCCCAAUCUCUUUUAAAAGUUUUUUAAAGCAAGAUGGCCCAGCAGGUAAAUGGUACUUACCACCAAGCCUGUUGACCCACCCAGGUUCCAUUUCUAGGACUCAUGGUGGGAAGAGAGAGCCAGCUCCCAAAAGUUAUCUACUGACCUAUAUAUACAAACAAGAAAAAAAAAAUUUUUUUUAAAUCCUUAAAAAGUUCAUGGUAGCAAGAACAAAGUGCAGUGACUGUGCUACACUUGUUUGUCGUUUUCCAGGGAGAAGAGCGUGGUACUGAAAUGGUCAAAGACCAUUGCAGGGACAGAAGAUGAGGGUGGAGAAACUGAAUUUUGACUCACAGCUGAGUCAAGUUUUGGUGCUGGCUGUUGGAUUCUUGGAUAAUGAUUUACCAGGACAGGGACUUGUUAGGUCUUGCUUCAGGUGUUGGAACACUUUUGCCAAAUAAGACAAUGCUGAGUGGCACAUGACAGUUUGCUGGCUACUUUUCAUAAGCACUCACUAGAUCUAAAUCAUCGUGGGACUCUACAGUGGUGUGGGUAUUACUGAUGGACGUCACCCUUGGGUUAUCGUCCCUCUGGUGGAACUCUGAUCCCACUUUGUCAGCCUGCGUUGAGCAAUAGAUAACACUCCGCUAGAAAAGGUCAGGCGUCCUCUUCUGACCAAGUACUUUUUCUUUCUUUUUUUAAAUGGUGGACCAAGAUGUAAAAUUGUAUGUUGAUCUGGUAGAGACCUGGAAUAGAGUCAGACGUGUGGGGUUAAAUGAGGCCCUAACUAACUAAUCCAGCAAGGUAAAGAAGAAUCGUAUUCUCCCAAAACCUAGACACGUUCCCUUUCUGUCUGCACUUGAUGGUGGUAUUUCGGGAGCACCGGACAUCAACAGCUUUGAAUGUUAAUUACAGCACAGAUAGGGGACUGUACAUCCCGUGACAGUUCUCUAGGAACCACGAAGACAUCCCUUUAAAUGCAGCAUGGGCCACCAACCUGGUUAGCAGCCAGGGUGCACAUACCCUAUGAAGGAACCUUACCUUGAAAGCAGCGUGAUUGGCUUCCAUAUCAUCUUUGAAUAUGAGUGAUAUUCCUAGUUUCAGCGUGUCCUCAUAGAGACCAACAGACCAGGUUUAUUCUUUCAGGAAGUCUUUCAACGCCGGAAGUUGUGUGAUAUCUGCACAUGGACUGGAUUGCCCACUGACUCAUACAAACAUCGGAAAAAAGGACUGAAGAAAGGCGGGUUUCAGGAAGCAACUCCAGCCCACUUACAGCUUUUGAGCAGCUUGAAAGAAGAUAAUUCUAAAAAUGAGUGACGAGAUCCUAGUCAUUUCUACAUUUGUCUGUAGACAUUUAUCGUCUUUAUUAACCCGUCUGUUUGGGGAAUGGUAUUUGAGCUAUUGUCCAUCACUUUAGCAGCUAAUAAUCUGGUCAGAGUUUUUACCUGUGGGUACAGAAAUCACAUCAGUAGUAGAUGGAAGAGAAACUGCUCAUCGGGACAGUGAUGCCCCACACACCUGCCGAAAUUGACUUUCAUUAAACAAUCACUAAAGAGUGUGGUACCCAC